rnacentral:rRNA from 1 species
GCCAGACUCCUACGGGAGGCAGCAGUGGGGAAUAUUGGGCAAUGGGCGCAAGCCUGACCCAGCAACGCCGCGUGAAGGAAGAAGGCUCUCGGGUUGUAAACUUCUUUUAUCAGGGACGAAGCAAGUGACGGUACCUGAUGAAUAAGCUCCGGCUAACUACGUGCCAGCAGCCGCGGUAAUACGUAGGGAGCAAGCGUUAUCCGGAUUUACUGGGUGUAAAGGGCGCGUAGGCGGGAUGGCAAGUCAGAUGUGAAAUCCGGGGGCUCAACCCCUGAACUGCAUUUGAAACUGUCGUUCUUGAGUACUGGAGAGGUUGACGGAAUUCCUAGUGUAGCGGUGAAAUGCGUAGAUAUUAGGAGGAACACCAGUGGCGAAGGCGGUCAACUGGACAGCAACUGACGCUGAGGCGCGAAAGCGUGGGGAGCGAACAGGAUUAGAUACCCCAGUA